UGGGGAAUAUUGCACAAUGGGCNCAAGCCUGAUGCAGCCAUGCCGCGUGUGUGAGGAAGGCCUUCGGGUUGUAAAGCACUUUCAGCGAGGAGGAAGGUGGUGGACUUAAUACGUUCAUCAAUUGACGUUACUCGCAGAAGAAGCACCUGCUAACUCCGUGCCAGCAGCCGCGGUAAUACGGAGGGUGCAAGCGUUAAUCGGAAUUACUGGGCGUAAAGCGCACGCAGGCGGUUUGUUAAGUCAGAUGUGAAAUCCCCGGGCUCAACCUGGGAACUGCAUUUGAAACUGGCAAGCUAGAGUCUCGUAGAGGGGGGUAGAAUUCCAGGUGUAGCGGUGAAAUGCGUAGAGAUCUGGAGGAAUACCGGUGGCGAAGGCGGCCCCCUGGACGAAGACUGACGCUCAGGUGCG
rnacentral:rRNA from 1 species